rnacentral:rRNA from 1 species
AAUUAGCUUGCUAAUUUGCUGACGAGUGGCGCACGGGUGCGUAACGCGUAUACAAUCUACCUUUUGCUGAGGGAUAGCCCAGAGAAAUUUGGAUUAAUACCUCAUGGUAUUACUGAUAGGCAUCUAUUAAUAAUUAAAGUUACGGCAAAAGAUGAGUAUGCGUCCCAUUAGCUAGUUGGUGAAGUAACGGUUCACCAAGGCAGCGAUGGGUAGGGGUCCUGAGAGGGAGAUCCCCCACACUGGUACUGAGACACGGACCAGACUCC